GAUGAACGCUGGCGGCGUGCUUAACACAUGCAAGUCGAACGAUGAAGCCCAGCUUGCUGGGUGGAUUAGUGGCGAACGGGUGAGUAACACGUGAGUAACCUGCCCUUAACUCUGGGAUAAGCCUGGGAAACUGGGUCUAAUACCGGAUAGGAGCGUCCACCGCAUGGUGGGUGUUGGAAAGAUUUAUCGGUUUUGGAUGGACUCGCGGCCUAUCAGCUUGUUGGUGAGGAAUGGCUCACCAAGGCGACGACGGGUAGCCGGCCUGAGAGGGUGACCGGCCACACUGGGACUGAGACACGGCCCAGACUCCUACGGGAGGCAGCAGUGGGGAAUAUUGCACAAUGGGCGCAAGCCUGAUGCAGCGACGCCGCGUGAGGGAUGACGGCCUUCGGGUUGUAAACCUCUUUCAGUAGGGAAGAAGCGAAAGUGACGGUACCUGCAGAAGAAGCACCGGCUAACUACGUG
rnacentral:rRNA from 1 species